UCAGGAUGAACGCUAGCGGCAGGCUUAACACAUGCAAGUCAGGGGCAGCGGGAUGUAGCAAUACAUUGCCGGCGACCGGCGGAUGGGUGCGUAACGCGUAUGCAACCUACCUUAUACAGGGGAAUAACCUUUCGAAAGGGAGACUAACACCCCAUAGUAUUGAUUUAAGGCAUCUUAGAUUAAUUAAAUAUUUAUAGGUAUAAGAUGGGCAUGCGUAUGAUUAGCUAGUUGGUAAGGUAACGGCUUACCAAGGCGACGAUCAUUAGGGGUUCUGAGAGGAAGGUCCCCCACACUGGUACUGAGACACGGACCAGACUCCUACGGGAGGCAGCAGUGAGGAAUAUUGGUCAAUGGGCGCAAGCCUGAACCAGCCAUGCCGCGUGCAAGGAAGACGGCCUUAUGGGUUGUAAACUGCUUUUACAUAAGACUAACCGUAUAUUUGCGAAUAUACCUGAAUGUAUUAUGAGAAUAAGGAUCGGCUAACUCCGUGCCAGCCGCAGC
rnacentral:rRNA from 1 species